rnacentral:rRNA from 1 species
CGUACACUCCUGCGGGAGGCAGCAGUGGGGAAUAUUGGACAAUGGGCGCAAGCCUGAUCCAGCCAUGCCGCGUGAGUGAUGAAGGCCCUAGGGUUGUAAAGCUCUUUCACCGGUGAAGAUAAUGACGGUAACCGGAGAAGAAGCCCCGGCUAACUUCGUGCCAGCAGCCGCGGUAAUACGAAGGGGGCUAGCGUUGUUCGGAUUUACUGGGCGUAAAGCGCACGUAGGCGGACUAUUAAGUCAGGGGUGAAAUCCCGGGGCUCAACCCCGGAACUGCCUUUGAUACUGGUAGUCUUGAGUUCGAGGGAGGUGAGUGGAAUUCCGAGUGUAGAGGUGAAAUUCGUAGAUAUUCGGAGGAACACCAGUGGCGAAGGCGGCUCACUGGCUCGAUACUGACGCUGAGGUGCGAAAGCGUGGGGAGCAAACAGGAUUAGAAACCCGAGUAGUCCC